AGCUAUGAGAUCUGUAUGUGCUGCAUGAAAGCCUUUACUGUGCAGAUCAGGCAUCUCCUCAUCUCCCAAGUGCAAAGGUUGCAGCUGACUGUACAUUAAGUUAACCAAGCAUUCCUGAAAUUAGUAAUGCUGGAAUUUGACAGAUACUUCACAUCAUCCUGCCAUCUUUACCACUAUUUAAGGUAUCCUGAUCCACCGACUUUGCCUCCUUCAGUAACCUAGUGGUAGCUUCUUGUCUCCCUUUCCCCCUGACUUCU